rnacentral:rRNA from 1 species
AUGCGGAUCAUGGCCGGCACCAUCCUCGGCGGCGGCCACGGCUUCUACGUCAUGCACCGCAUCGAGACCUCCUACAAGGCGAGGAUGGGGGAGAGGCUGCGACGAUGGCAAGCUGGAGUGCCUCUACCAUGGCUGGCAGUUUGA